CACAGCUCCUGAAUCCUUACGCUGAAUAGGGCCAGUUGUGUAGACUCAUCAACUGUGCCAGACUCCUGUUCCUGGUCUCUGGAGCUUCAAUUUGGGGAAAGUGACCCGUUAGCUUCUAAGGACCAGGGUGAGAGAGGACAAGCUUGAAUGUCCUUCACGAUGGAGAGAUGUGUGCAGGCCAGACAGACAUCAGUUCCUCUACCGGUGCACAGGCGACUGCAAUGUGAUGCUUCCUGGAAUCCCCUCUCAGAUAACCUGCUUGCCCCUAAAUCCUGCUCUCAGGCCUGCCUGUGGGGAGAACAAAUCCAGACAAAGAGAGGGACAUGAGCAGAUGAGCUACCCUGAACGGGAGGCAAGUGGGCUGGAAGGUGACAGAAGAGGACGAGGAUAUUUCUGCCUUCAAGAAAACGAGACAGGGUUGUUCUACUGAAGGAAGAGAGUCUUAAGGUUAUUGCUCAGACAACAUCAGGCUGACCACCAGGCAUGUGAAUGAGAUCAUCUUAGAUAACCCAGUUUCAGCUGAAUUGAUCCAGAGCAAAACAGCUGUCCAGGAACCAAAGGAACCUGACAGAUAAGUAAUGUUUCUUGCUUUAAAUCUCUAUAUUUGAGUUGGUUUCUUAUCCAGCAAAAACUGCCUGAUAUGACACCUUCACAACUCCUUUGUAUAUUUCAACUUAAUUGUAACAUCCUUAAGCACAGAGCCACAUGGACUGACACCCUCUGAAGCUCCCUCAGGACUCAGCAUUCUGCUUCACUCAUUUAAGGAGCAGAGGACAUGUUUGUUGAUUGACAAUCUUAUCCGAAGUUUCCACUGUGCUUCAAGAAUCAGUUAGUGAUUUAAUUCCUUUAAAGGCCAUCUUAGGUCCCCAAGAACCAGCUAAAAACAAACCUGCUACAUCACAUCUUCUUGAAAAAAAGACUAACAGAUCGUAAGCUUUGAAAUCAACUGUAGGCUCUAUGGAGGGAUAUUCUGCUAAGGUUUCAAAGACACAGGCAUUAAUAUAACCUCCCCUUUCAGACUCAGAUCCUCUCUGAUUUCUCCAUCAGUUCCUGCAGAGAAUUUGAGGUCAAAGGGAAUGGAAGAGUCUGCUAGUUCAAAUGAAUUAAGUUGGGGAUGAUUAGAAAUUGAAUCUCAGCUGACAAAAUGGGGAAGUAAAAUUUCUCUGAAAAUAUUAUUUCCGUAGUUAAAAGGAAUUUACAUGGAUAUAAAUGACGUUCUGUCACUUAAAAAUGCUCCCACAAAAAUAUACAUAAGAUUUUCACCUCGAGGCUGAAAAUGAGAAAGUUGGACUAUAUGAUGAGUAAGAGCUUAUAAAUACAUAAUGCUCUAUAGAGAGUUCUGACAUCGUGAGAUGCUGUCCAUCUUUUCCUAAUAAAAGCCAUAAAUUUCUACAGGGUCGUGUAAAGUAAAAGGUUAUUUUGAACGUUCUAAAUUAGUUUCUGAAAAAGAAGGGCAGGAUUUCUGUCUUGUGCCCCUUGAGUUCCCACAAUGUAUUUAUUAAGACAAAUACUAGCCACUAUGAUGAAGUUUAUUCUCACUCAUGUAAAGUCCAGAAUGAGCCAUCAAAAUAGGUGGUGGAGGUUUGGGUUGGGUACAGAAAAGUGCUGUCCACACAGUGGCUCAGUCAUCUUCAGCAUGUAACUUCUGUGGCAACCCUGAGUGUCAAUUCACUCGACAGAGGAAGACAGAAAGGGUUAUUCAUCAGAGAGUCUUAUCCAGCAGGCCUAGAAAGUAGUGUACACCCGUGUGCCCACAUUUAAUUGGUAGAAUGCAGUCACAUGAUCACAUGUAACUGGAAGGGAGGCUAAAAACAUAGUCAGCCUCCCACAGAUUGCCACCAAUAAAUGAUAUCCCCCCCAUAAUAAGAGCAUCCCAUAGAUUGUGUCACAUCCAGACUUGGAGAUUCAGUGACAUCCAGCUAACACAGUUUUGGCAGGAAGUGUGAUUGCAUGCCAAAGUCAUUUCCCAUACAAAACCAAUAAACAAAUUUAGUCAAAAGUACUAGUUUACAACAUAUUAUAUUCCUAGGGCAAUGAUAAGACCUACAAAUCAUAAAAGAAAACAUAUACCACAAUGUCUCCCCAUUGGGAGCUUAUAGUGAAAUUGAACACAUUUGACAUAUUCACUGAAAGAUUUGUAAAUAAUGUUGCAUCAGUUCCUAAGGAUGUUGCCCUGUCAUAGAUAUGUGCAUAUUUAUAAAUUUUUCUAAUGUAUUUUUCCAGAACAUAAGACAGUACAAAGAGUUUAGAGGUAGAAGAGAUCCUGCCAUCAUUUGAAUGUCCCCUCCAAAACUCACAUUGAAAUUUAAUUGCCAUUGUGACAAUAUUAAGAAGUGGGACCUUUAAAAGAUGAUUAAUAUUGUUAUGAGAGUGAGUUAGUUAUCAUGGGAGUAGGCUCCUAAUAAGAAGAUACAUUUGGUUCCCAUUUCCUCUCUCUGUAUUGCACACUUCCUUGUCAUGCACAGCCAUCUGCGGUAGCAUGACCCGGCCAGAUGCUGAUGCAUGCUCUUGGACUUUCCAGCCUCCAGAACCAUGAGCAAAAUAAACUCCAGAUUUUUUAAUGAGUUACUCUAUCUGUGGUAUUCUGUUACAGCAGCAGAAAAUAGAUGAAGAAAGACAAUGG